rnacentral:rRNA from 1 species
GACGAACGCUGGCGGCGUGCUUAACACAUGCAAGUCGAACGGAAAGGCCCUGCUUUUGUGGGGUGCUCGAGUGGCGAACGGGUGAGUAACACGUGAGUAACCUGCCCUUGACUUUGGGAUAACUUCAGGAAACUGGGGCUAAUACCGGAUAGGAGCUCCUGCUGCAUGGUGGGGGUUGGAAAGUUUCGGCGGUUGGGGAUGGACUCGCGGCUUAUCAGCUUGUUGGUGGGGUAGUGGCUUACCAAGGCUUUGACGGGUAGCCGGCCUGAGAGGGUGACCGGCCAAAUUGGGACUGAGAUACGGCCCAGACUCCUACGGGAGGGAGCAGUGGGGAAUAUUGCACAAUGGGCGGAAGCCUGAUGCAGCAACGCCGCGUGCGGGAUAACGGCCUUCGGGUGGGAAACCGCUUUCGCCUGUGACGAAGCGUGAGUGACGGUAAUGGGGAAAGAAGCACCGGCUAACUACGU